rfam:Picea glauca, whole genome shotgun sequence.
ACAAGUUGGUCGAGUGGUCUACAACGCCAAAGUUAGGAUUUGGUCUGAAAAGGUGUGGGUUCAAAUCCCACAACUUGCA